rnacentral:lncRNA from 1 species
CAGCAAUGCUCACAAGCCUGGGCCAGAAGCCAUUGCUAGGCUGGACCACUGGAUUCCUCUCUGUCAUGGCCACAGAGUCCGACAUCUACCUGUGUACUGAAGCCAAAGCACCGCGUUCUUUACCUGAUACUAACAGAAAGUCUGAAGCUGCAGUUUGGCCUCUUCUUCCUAAGGCUGUUUGGACAGCUUCAGUUACCUCUGAGUACAAGCAUGAUGCAGUCUGGAAACACUAGCAGGACUUCAUUCUUUCAUGGAUCCAGCAUGCACAACCUGCCUCUCCUGGGGAGGCAUGUGCCAAGAGAUGGUCUGCUUCUUGGCUUCAAAGCAUAAGGAACUUCACCGUUCUUAAAACUGGUACUGAGAUGAGGGCUGCUGGAGGCCUUUUGGUUGACACUUUAUAAAGAGCAUCCUCCAGGAGGAUGCUAUUAAAGUCUUUAUAACGGCAACUAAUGGUGAGGAAAGAGGUUGAGUCAACAUCUAUCUUCUGUCUCUUCUGGAAAUGGAGUGUGCUAAGCAUGGGGCA